UACCCCCAGCUAGGCUGGGGGUUCUAAAAAGCUUUUAGCUUUGCUUCUGUUAUAAAACUCCUUUUGAUUUGUUAUAACUGACUUGCGGUCUGGCAACUGCAUGUCGAACAAAUCAAAAG
rfam:Desulfovibrio litoralis DSM 11393 genome assembly, contig: EJ49DRAFT_scaffold00017.17